rnacentral:rRNA from 1 species
UACGUAGGGGGCAAGCGUUGUCCGGAUUCAUUGGGCGUAAAGAGCGUGUAGGCGGCCAGGUAGGUCGGUUGUGAAAACUGGAGGCUCAACCUUCAGAGGUCGACCGAAACCAUCUGGCUAGAGUCCGGGAGAGGAGAGUGGAAUUCCUGGUGUAGCGGUGAAAUGCGCAGAUAGUCAGGAAGAACACCCGUGGCGAAAGCGGCUCUCUGGAACGGUACUGACGCUGAGACGCGAAAGCGUGGGGAGCGAACAGG